UCGUAACAAGGUCUCCGUUGGUGAACCAGCGGAGGGAUCAUUACCGAGUUUACAACUCCCAAACCCCUGUGAACAUACCACUUGUUGCCUCGGCGGAUCAGCCCGCUCCCGGUAAAACGGGACGGCCCGCCAGAGGACCCCUAAAACUCUGUUUCUAUAUGUAACUUCUGAGUAAAACCAUAAAUAAAUCAAAACUUUCAACAACGGAUCUCUUGGUUCUGGCAUCGAUGAAGAACGCAGCAAAAUGCGAUAAGUAAUGUGAAUUGCAGAAUUCAGUGAAUCAUCGAAUCUUUGAACGCACAUUGCGCCCGCCAGUAUUCUGGCGGGCAUGCCUGUUCGAGCGUCAUUUCAACCCUCAAGCACAGCUUGGUGUUGGGACUCGCGUUAAUUCGCGUUCCUCAAAUUGAUUGGCGGUCACGUCGAGCUUCCAUAGCGUAGUAGUAAAACCCUCGUUACUGGUAAUCGUCGCGGCCACGCCGUUAAACCCCAACUUCUGAAUGUUGACCUCGGAUCAGGUAGGAAUACCCGCUGAACUUAAGCAUAUCAA
rnacentral:rRNA from 1 species